ACGAGGAAGAGCCCGAGGAGGCGAGGAGGAAGAAGCGAGCAGAGGCCGAGGAGGCUCGGGGUCGCGAAGACCCGGUCCGAAGGGGUCCGGCAGGGCAUCCGCUAGCUGGCCGCGGAGGCAGGGCAGACAGCCGCAGCCAAUUUACCGCGGCCCCGCGAGCUCAGGAGGCGGCGAUCCAGGAGCGGAGCGCAGUCUGGGGGAGGAAGGGUGGCGCGGGCACGCCCGGGCGGGAGGGCGCGGAUUCUCCGAUCUUAACGAGCUGUCUUCUCAUCACCCGAGAGAGCUGCGCGGGGACGGGCGGGGGACCCCGGGCCGGGGCGCAGCGCACACGCGGGCGCACGCCAAGUGGACCGGGCGGCGCCGAAGGCACUCGGGAUCGCGCUUUCGGAGCUUCGGGCCGCCCAGACCCCGGGCGCGGACGGCCCGCGGCGCCCCCUGGGCUCUCGGUGCCCCGCGCAGCCCCGGGGGCGAUCGGAGCCCGGGUCGGGGAGUGGGAGCCACCCGCGCUCAUCCCCUUCCCCCCCCGGGCGGGCGGGCAGCCCGGGGGAGGGCGGGCGGCGGCGCUUGGCUGUAUAUAUCUCCGCACACCCCGCCAGGUCGCGCACAGCGCCCCGAGCCCAGGCGCCUCCCCGCCCCCCUCCCGGCGCUCCGCGGCGGCGGCGGCAGCAGUAGCAGCAACAUGGCUGUUGAUGGGUGUUCGGGGUGGCGCUGGCGGCGGGAGGAGCUCCCUCGAGCCCCUGCGCCGGCCGUCCGUUGCUAGCUAUGGCAAACGGUGGCGGCGGCGGCGGCGGCGGCAGCAGCGGCAGCAGCGGCGGCGGCGGCGGCGGCGGCGGAGGCAGCGGUCUUAGAAUGAGCAGCAAUAUCCACGCGAACCAUCUCAGCCUAGACGCGUCCUCUUCUUCCUCCUCCUCUUCUUCCUCCUCCUCUUCCUCCUCGUCCUCGGUCCACGAGCCCAAGAUGGAUGCGCUCAUCAUCCCGGUGACCAUGGAGGUGCCGUGCGACAGCCGGGGCCAACGCAUGUGGUGGGCUUUCUUGGCCUCCUCCAUGGUGACUUUCUUCGGGGGCCUCUUCAUCAUCUUGCUCUGGCGGACUCUCAAGUACCUGUGGACCGUUUGCUGCCACUGCGGGGGCAAGACGAAGG
rnacentral:lncRNA from 1 species